ensembl:snRNA U6 U6 spliceosomal RNA
ACACCUUGGUGGUGUGUACACUAACAUUGAGAUGAGGCAGAGAUGAUUAGCAUGACCCCCGCACGAGGAGGGCAUGCAAAUUUGUGAUGUGUUCCCUAUUCUG